rnacentral:lncRNA from 1 species
CGCCGAGCGCUGGGCGGAGCCCUGGCCCAGCCACGACUGCCAGCGCGCUCAACCCGACCUGCUGCCCGUCUCUUUCUGUAAGGCCGAGCAGGUCUUCGGACCCCUGAGCCAAAGCCACGUGGUCAGAUGCCCUCCCCGGGAAUCAGUCCAGCCCUUUUGUGUCGCGCCAUCCUUGCUCGCCCCUCGCUGCUGGGCAUCUUUCACACCCGAGAAGCUGCACUUUUAAAAUCCAUCCUGGGAUGGUAUUCCGGACUCAUUCCAACACGUCUGGCUUACGUGUUUUAACCUACUGGCCCCCUCCGUGUCCGUUUUUUUUCCGCCUGGGUUGGAGAGGGUGGGCAAGGUUUUAACACGUAGUUAAAAUUCGAGGCAAUUUUCCUAAUUACGAGCCGGCUCCUCGGACCACUGUGAUAUUUCAACCUCUGUUUCUGUAUGCCACACCGUCCUUACAUUCCGAACUUGCCCGGAUUCCACAAAGCUUCGACUCUUCCUGUUCUCUGUUGUCUCUUGGUACUGCACCACAAAAGUCUGAAAACUAUUGAUCAUUUUCCGUAUGAAGAAAGAAAGAGGCACAAACAAACAGAAGUUCCCAAAAGAAGCCCAAUCUUCGAGAUUGAUGGACUGACUGAAACUUUUGUGUUUUCUGGAGAGCUGGCCCCAAGGGCAGGAGAGCAGGAGGCCUAUUCCUGCCCUUCAACGACUGGGACUGUGCAAGGGGGAGAGCUGGCCCAGCCCCUCACAGGCUGCAGCAAUUGGUGCAGAUAAGGGAGAGCCAGUGCACUGACAAGUCCAGCUACCACCCAGGCUCAAAUCCAGGGCUCUCAGUUGGCCCAUCCCAAAGUCUGUAUCAUCUGUGAAUAGUUGGGGCACGUGAAAGGACCCGUCCUGCUGACCCAAAGCUGCAGAAUGAUGACUCAGGGCAACAACUGUGAGGAGUCCCAGUGGGCUCCAGUAUUGAUGGUGUCGUGGAAGCCAGAGAUCUCGAACCAGACAAUGACUCAUUGCAAUGAACAUUUGCAAAUGAAGAUGUAUGGACAGAGGGAGGCACUGUGGGACACAGCGUGACAAACUACAGCUUCCAUGAGGAGAUGUUUUUCCAUGCU